UACAGAGGUGGCAAGCGUUGUUCGGAAUCACUGGGCUUAAAGGGCGCGUAGGCGGUCGGAAGGGUGUCCUGUGAAAUCCCUCGGCUUAACCGAGGAACUGCGGGGCAAACCGUCCGGCUUGAGGCAGGUAGAGGUUGAUGGAACUCUGGGUGGAGCGGUGAAAUGCGUAGAUAUCCAGGGGAACGCCAAUGGCGAAAGCAGUCAACUGGGCCUGUCCUGACGCUGAGGCGCGAAAGCCAGGGGAGCAAACGGG
rnacentral:rRNA from 1 species